rnacentral:rRNA from 1 species
GUGCAGCCGCCGCGGUAAUACCGGCAGCCCGAGUGAUGGCCGAUAUUAUUGGGCCUAAAGCGUCCGUAGCUGGCCGAACAAGUCGGUCGGGAAAUCCACGUGCUUAACACGUGGGCGACCGGCGGAAACUGUUCGGCUUGGGGCCGGAGGACCCGAGGGGUACGUCCGGGGUAGGAGUGGAAUCCUGUAAUCCUGGACGGACCGCCGGUGGCGAAAGCGCCUCGGGAAGACGGACCCGACAGUGAGGGACGAAAGCUGGGAUCUCGAACCGGAUUAGAUACCCUAGUAGUCC